CUCCAAGAGGAGGAAGGUUCACAUCAGAAAGCAGGGCUGCAUGCUGUCUUAAAGGCAUUAUUACUUCCUUAGGCUGGAGAUGCAAACAGUCCAGGCUCUGUCACAGGCCCUGUAUUUUUAGGAACUGAAUUUAUGACAAGAUGUUUCAAAGCAAUCUGUAUAAGGAAAAAGCAAGCCUGAGAUCCUGCUGUGCCCAUGCCAGGAGGUCCCAGGUUCCUUCCGAGCUUAUGGCCAGGAUUUGGUUUCAGCAGCAAUCUGAGGGAAGUGGUUGGCUCUUUCCUGCCUGCGCCUGGCCCACGUCCAGCAGCACAGAGGAGAAUGAAGAGGAUGGAUUUUGCUGGAGGCAAGAACUUGUCCAAAGUGUGGAUCUGCUGCAUGUGCUCAUCUGGAAUUUUUAACGCCGUGAGGCUCAAGGGACAUCUUGACUGUUCCUCAUUCCAACUCUUGCUGGAUUACUUGUCCAAGAGACAGCAAAAUUCACUGGUUUCAGUCUGUGGUGUGGUGGAAGGCAGAUCCUAUCAGAAACAUCUCUAUGUCAUCUGGUUGGACAAGACACCUACAGACCGCCGUGGCCGAGUGCUCUGUGUUUGCUUUGAAGUAGCCCAUGCAUCUGCAGGCUCUGCUCCUCACUCCUUCCUGACAUCCUCCGUGAUGACAUCUGUCAGGAUGAACUCCUUCCAUCGCUGUCCUCCAAACAGGGAGGCUGAUGGAGUUCGCAAUGUAAUAACCUCAUUCUCCUACAAAUCCUGA
rnacentral:lncRNA from 1 species